rnacentral:sRNA from 1 species
UCUCUGCUCACGGCGAGCACUGCGCACUU